rnacentral:rRNA from 1 species
GAUGAACGCUGGCGGCGUGCCUAAUACAUGCAAGUCGAGCGAACAGACGAGGAGCUUGCUCCUCUGACGUUAGCGGCGGACGGGUGAGUAACACGUGGAUAACCUACCUAUAAGACUGGGAUAACUUCGGGAAACCGGAGCUAAUACCGGAUAAUAUAUUGAACCGCAUGGUUCAAUAUUGAAAGACGGUUUUGCUGUCACUUAUAGAUGGAUCCGCGCCGCAUUAGCUAGUUGGUAAGGUAACGGCUUACCAAGGCAACGAUGCGUAGCCGACCUGAGAGGGUGAUCCGCCACACUGGAACUGAGACACGGUCCAGACUCCUACGGGAGGCAGCAGUAGGGAAUCUUCCGCAAUGGGCGAAAGCUUGACGGAGCAACGCCGCGUGAGUGAUGAAGGUCUUCGGAUCGUAAAACUCUGUUAUUAGGGAAGAACAAAUGUGUAAGUAACUAUGCACGUCUUGACGGUACCUAAUCAGAAAGCCACGGCUAACUACGUG